rnacentral:rRNA from 1 species
UACGAGGGGAGCAAGCGUUGUUCGGAUUUACUGGGCGUAAAGGGCGCGUAGGCGGCGUGACAAGUCACUUGUGAAAUCUCCGGGCUUAACUCGGAACGGUCAAGUGAUACUGUCGUGCUGGAGUACAGAAGGGGCAACUGGAAUUCUCGGUGUAGCGGUGAAAUGCGUAGAUAUCGAGAGGAACACCUGCGGCGAAGGCGGGUUGCUGGGCUGAUACUGACGCUGAGGUGCGAAAGCCAGGGGAGCGAACGGG